rnacentral:tRNA from 1 species
GGUCCUGUAGUUCAAGGGAUAGAAUAGAAGUUUCCUAAACUUUUGAUCCAGGUUCGAGUCCUGGCAGGACCA